GACGAACGCUAGCGGCGUGCUUAACACAUGCAAGUCGAGCGGAAGGGCGCGGUUGUUGUGGGGUGCUCGAGUGGGGCACGAGUGUGUGUAACGUGAGUACCCUACCCUUGACUUUCGGAUAAAAUCAGGGGACUGGGGCUAAUACCGCCUAUGAGCUACUGUGGCGUGGUGGGGGUUGGAGAGAUUCGGCGGGUGGGGAUGGUCUCGCGGCUUAUCAGCUUGUUGGUGGGGUAGUGGCUUACCCAGGCUUUGACGGGGAGGCGGCCUGAGAGGGUGACCGGCCACAUUGGGACUGAGAUACGGCGCAGACGCCUACGGGAGGCAGAAGUGGGGAGUAUGGCACAAUGGGCGGAAGCCUGAUGCAGCAGCGCCGCGUGCGGGAUGACGGCCUUCGGGGUGUGAACCGAUUUAGCCUGUGACGAAGCGUGAGUGACGGUAAUGGGUGAAGAAGCACCGGCUAACUACGUG
rnacentral:rRNA from 1 species